UGCUGACCAGGAUGUGAUGUAUAAGUAUAUAUCCAAAAGUUUACUUUUUGUGGCAACUAUUGCACCAAAAGCCGGUGGUGAAUUUGGAAAGGCCACCCUGGAGGAGUACGUCGGUUGUAUACCUGAUCGAUACUGUAACUGGUCGUAUAUUGCAUCGGAUGACUCAUCAUGGUUCACAGGGUCCUGUUCAUGCAGUUCUUAGUGAGAACUGGGUUGUCUACCACUACUUCAAUCUUAGAGCGCACAGAUAUGAGAUG